CGCACCUUGCGCCUCUUGGUAUUCCGAGAGGCAUGCCUGUUUGAGUGUCAUGAAAACCUCAAGCCCCCCGGGUUUUGCUACCUGUUGGGCUUGGAAGUGGGUGCUGCCAUCCUGGCUCACCUCAAAGAUGUCAGUGAGAUGGAUCUUGUGCUCUGGAUGUCAUAAGUUUCAUCCCCAGCCGAGGUUGCGCUUGCUCCCAACAACCCAUGACAAUUCACCUCUGACCUCAAAUCAGGUAGGGCUACCCGCUGAACUUAA
rnacentral:misc_RNA from 1 species